rnacentral:rRNA from 1 species
UACAGAGGGUGCGAGCGUUGCCCGGAUUUAUUGGGCGUAAAGGGCGCGUAGGCGGCCACGCACGUCCGUUGUGAAAUCGCUCGGCUCAACUGGGCGGGGUCAGCGGAUACGGUGUGGCUAGAGCAAGCUAGGGGGCAAUGGAAUUCCCGGUGUAGUGGUGGAAUGCGUAGAUAUCGGGAGGAACACCAGUGGCGAAGGCGGUUGCCUGGAGCUUUGCUGACGCUGAUGCGCGAAAGCGUGGGGAGCGAUCCGG